CAGAAAAAUGCCCCACUGAAACAAAAAAUGCUUUGUAAUGACUGCUUGAAAAAAUAACACAGCUCAGAUCUGAAACCAUCAUACUUCACCCGAGUCAGGAGGAGCUCUCCAGCUGCAGUCUACCAUUUGAUGCCUCCACUACCCUGCUUUAUUGAUUUUAUACACCAAAGGAUUUGUGAGCCACUGUGUUAUUACAUCCAACAGAGAUCCAUCCUGAGCGGUCCUUCCUUCCUACAGCUGUGAAACCUGCAAUGAUUCUCUGGAGAACACUGGAAAAUGAGUUGCUUCAACAUUUAAUUUCCUCUUGUGGAUUAAUUGUAAUAGAUAGUUUUUACAUGAGGAUGUGACCAAAUACACUUAUCGCAAAGCUCUUAAGCUCCUAAACGUAUCUUCACAUGCAGCAAAUAGUUUUUACUUUACAAGAUAUCAAAAUAUAGAAACAAGAAGUUCCACUCAAGCAUUUGGAAUGUGAAAAAUAAGCCAAAAAAGCUAAGUGUUAGAUAGAGUAACCUUAAACUGAAUGUAAUACAGUCUAAUGAUACAUCUUUUUUUGCUAGUUCUAAGCAAGUGUUUUGUAGUUUUUUGAGUUUUU